CAUCGAAAUACAGCUCAAGUACAAAUCCUAAAACGUAAUCAUGCAUAACCAUGCAUGAUCUAAAAAAAUACUUAUAAAUUUUUGGAAGUUAUUCAAUUCCAACAAAUGCCAAUAUGUGAAGGCCGCCAACGUAGAUAUAUUGUGCAAUUGCAAUAAUAUUAAAAUUAUUUGAUAUCAAUUAUUUCCCUUUUCCGGAUGUUCUCUUCUUGUAACGUGCAUAAACUUGAUAUGCGGCUUUGAGGCCACUCUCCAAGGCACCUUGAAUCCAACCAGCGGCAAAUGAUAAGGCUUCUCCUGCGAAAUGUACGUUACCCAUGGGUUCCCACAGGUAUCUAAAUACAAGAAAUAUGAAUAAGUGUAGAUAAACACAAAAUCCAAUCUCUCAUACCAAUACAGUUAUUUGUUUAGCUUGUACAAUUAAACUAUUACACACGUUUUCGAAAUAAACGCUUUCUAACGAACCAAAAAACUAGAAGCCAUAAACAAUUUGAAC